GGGUUGUGAGGUUAAGCGACUAAGCGUACACGGUGGAUGCCCUGGCAGUCAGAGGCGAUGAAGGACGUGCUAAUCUGCGAUAAGCGUCGGUAAGGUGAUAUGAACCGUUAUAACCGGCGAUUUCCGAAUGGGGAAACCCAGUGUGUUUCGACACACUAUCAUUAACUGAAUCCAUAGGUUAAUGAGGCGAACCGGGGGAACUGAAACAUCUAAGUACCCCGAGGAAAAGAAAUCAACCGAGAUUCCCCCAGUAGCGGCGAGCGAACGGGGAGGAGCCCAGAGCCUGAAUCAGUGUGUGUGUUAGUGGAAGCGUCUGGAAAGGCGCGCGAUACAGGGUGACAGCCCCGUACACAAAAAUGCACAUACUGUGAGCUCGAUGAGUAGGGCGGGACACGUGGUAUCCUGUCUGAAUAUGGGGGGACCAUCCUCCAAGGCUAAAUACUCCUGACUGACCGAUAGUGAACCAGUACCGUGAGGGAAAGGCGAAAAGAACCCCGGCGAGGGGAGUGAAAAAGAACCUGAAACCGUGUACGUACAAGCAGUGGGAGCCUCUUAAUGGGGUGACUGCGUACCUUUUGUAUAAUGGGUCAGCGACUUAUAUUCUGUAGCAAGGUUAACCGAAUAGGGGAGCCGAAGGGAAACCGAGUCUUAACUGGGCGUUAAGUUGCAGGGUAUAGACCCGAAACCCGGUGAUCUAGCCAUGGGCAGGUUGAAGGUUGGGUAACACUAACUGGAGGACCGAACCGACUAAUGUUGAAAAAUUAGCGGAUGACUUGUGGCUGGGGGUGAAAGGCCAAUCAAACCGGGAGAUAGCUGGUUCUCCCCGAAAGCUAUUUAGGUAGCGCCUCGUGAAUUCAUCUCCGGGGGUAGAGCACUGUUUCGGCAAGGGGGUCAUCCCGACUUACCAACCCGAUGCAAACUGCGAAUACCGGAGAAUGUUAUCACGGGAGACACACGGCGGGUGCUAACGUCCGUCGUGAAGAGGGAAACAACCCAGACCGCCAGCUAAGGUCCCAAAGUCAUGGUUAAGUGGGAAACGAUGUGGGAAGGCCCAGACAGCCAGGAUGUUGGCUUAGAAGCAGCCAUCAUUUAAAGAAAGCGUAAUAGCUCACUGGUCGAGUCGGCCUGCGCGGAAGAUGUAACGGGGCUAAACCAUGCACCGAAGCUGCGGCAGCGACGUUUAUGCGUUGUUGGGUAGGGGAGCGUUCUGUAAGCCUGUGAAGGUGUACUGUGAGGUAUGCUGGAGGUAUCAGAAGUGCGAAUGCUGACAUAAGUAACGAUAAAGCGGGUGAAAAGCCCGCUCGCCGGAAGACCAAGGGUUCCUGUCCAACGUUAAUCGGGGCAGGGUGAGUCGACCCCUAAGGCGAGGCCGAAAGGCGUAGUCGAUGGGAAACAGGUUAAUAUUCCUGUACUUGGUGUUACUGCGAAGGGGGGACGGAGAAGGCUAUGUUGGCCGGGCGACGGUUGUCCCGGUUUAAGCGUGUAGGCUGGUUUUCCAGGCAAAUCCGGAAAAUCAAGGCUGAGGCGUGAUGACGAGGCACUACGGUGCUGAAGCAACAAAUGCCCUGCUUCCAGGAAAAGCCUCUAAGCAUCAGGUAACAUCAAAUCGUACCCCAAACCGACACAGGUGGUCAGGUAGAGAAUACCAAGGCGCUUGAGAGAACUCGGGUGAAGGAACUAGGCAAAAUGGUGCCGUAACUUCGGGAGAAGGCACGCUGAUAUGUAGGUGAAGUCCCUCGCGGAUGGAGCUGAAAUCAGUCGAAGAUACCAGCUGGCUGCAACUGUUUAUUAAAAACACAGCACUGUGCAAACACGAAAGUGGACGUAUACGGUGUGACGCCUGCCCGGUGCCGGAAGGUUAAUUGAUGGGGUUAGCGGUAACGCGAAGCUCUUGAUCGAAGCCCCGGUAAACGGCGGCCGUAACUAUAACGGUCCUAAGGUAGCGAAAUUCCUUGUCGGGUAAGUUCCGACCUGCACGAAUGGCGUAAUGAUGGCCAGGCUGUCUCCACCCGAGACUCAGUGAAAUUGAACUCGCUGUGAAGAUGCAGUGUACCCGCGGCAAGACGGAAAGACCCCGUGAACCUUUACUAUAGCUUGACACUGAACAUUGAGCCUUGAUGUGUAGGAUAGGUGGGAGGCUUUGAAGUGUGGACGCCAGUCUGCAUGGAGCCGGCCUUGAAAUACCACCCUUUAAUGUUUGAUGUUCUAACGUUGGCCCCUUACCGGGGUUGCGGACAGUGUCUGGUGGGUAGUUUGACUGGGGCGGUCUCCUCCUAAAGAGUAACGGAGGAGCACGAAGGUUGGCUAAUCCUGGUCGGACAUCAGGAGGUUAGUGCAAUGGCAUAAGCCAGCUUGACUGCGAGCGUGACGGCGCGAGCAGGUGCGAAAGCAGGUCAUAGUGAUCCGGUGGUUCUGAAUGGAAGGGCCAUCGCUCAACGGAUAAAAGGUACUCCGGGGAUAACAGGCUGAUACCGCCCAAGAGUUCAUAUCGACGGCGGUGUUUGGCACCUCGAUGUCGGCUCAUCACAUCCUGGGGCUGAAGUAGGUCCCAAGGGUAUGGCUGUUCGCCAUUUAAAGUGGUACGCGAGCUGGGUUUAGAACGUCGUGAGACAGUUCGGUCCCUAUCUGCCGUGGGCGCUGGAGAACUGAGGGGGGCUGCUCCUAGUACGAGAGGACCGGAGUGGACGCAUCACUGGUGUUCGGGUUGUCAUGCCAAUGGCACUGCCCGGUAGCUAAAUGCGGAAGAGAUAAGUGCUGAAAGCAUCUAAGCACGAAACUUGCCCCGAGAUGAGUUCUCCCUGACUCUUUAAGGGUCCUGAAGGAACGUUGAAGACGACGACGUUGAUAGGCCGGGUGUGUAAGCGCAGCGAUGCGUUGAGCUAACCGGUACUAAUGAACCGUGA
rnacentral:rRNA from 1 species